AUGGGAGGAAGGGCUGGGGGAACACGGGGCGGGGGGCGAGCGGGCCCGGCCCAGGGCGGGGGCAGGUGGAAAGCCACGGGGCACCUGGCACAGCCCCCAGCCCCGCUGCCCCAUUCCUCCCGGCAUCUGGUGCCACCUCUCCCAGUCUGGGUGUGGACAUGGUGCCCAGCCAUCCAUGCCACCGUCGCCCUCAUCUGGGCCGGGCCCUGUGGACGGAGGGACCCCAUGGGGCGUGCCCCUGUCUGUCCGUCCCGCGUGGUGGACGUGCCCCCUGAGGCCCCCUCCUGCCCAGCCUGGCUGUGUGCAGCCCGAGUGCUGGGCCUGGACCCCCCGAGCCUGUCCCGGCCCUGCUCUCCCCGGAGCACGGUGACUUCCUGUCCUGGUGGACGUUGCUGUCUUCCCUGGGCACAUGCGGUGCUCGAGCGCAGAAACUCUCCGAGGACGCCGUGGGGCUGGAGGUGCCACUCUGCCCACCCCCCUCCCCCAGCCUGGCCCCGAGGAUCGAGGGUGUCUUCCCCACAGAGGGGAAGACGCUGGGCGGGCCAGGAGGGGGCGGGGGCGGUAGGAUGCCUGCUUCCAAGGUCAGGGUCAGGGGUCGGCACAGGCUCUGACCGUGACGCUUCAGCAACCUUCCUGGUGGUUUCAGGGACCUUUCUCAGGGUCCCCACCCCCGGCCUGCCCCACGGGCCCCUUCUGCUCCAGAGCCUCCAGGACUGGCCAGGCUCGGGCUUUCGGAGGAGCCCUGUCCUGGGGGUCCUGAGCCCACACCCCGCUGGAGCCCACAGCUGGAUGGCCUGCCUCAUGAUUCCUGUGCCCGCAGCAGGCUGGCCUCCAGCCGCCUAGGGUGACAACCAGCAGGCGUCUCCAGACACGAAACUGCCCUGAAAAACUGCCGGUUUACAGACACGUAAGGACAGACUGGGGCUUCCCAGGGGGCGCGGUUGCAAAGAACCCGCCUGCCGAUGCAGGAGACGCAGGUUCGAUCCCUGGGUCGGGAAGAUCCCCUGGAGGAGGGCACGGCAACCCAUUCCAGUGUUCUUGCCUGGAGAGUCCCACGGACUGAGGAGCCUGGCGGGCUGCAGACCAUGAGGUCACAGAAGAGUCAGACACGACUGAGCGUGCACACAUGUAUGGGGACCUACUUGAUCAAUUCGAGAUGAACAGCAUGGUUUUAAUAGACGGAGGGUAAUCCAGGGGUUAUAAAUUGUUAAACAUACAUAAAUACACUUAAAAGUCACUACUGUCUCGGCUGUUACUUGGUGCACGGCUUGGCAGCAUCAGGGACCCACACGGGGUCCUGCAGCGGUCAGCACACACAGCUCCAGAGCUUUCCGUCUUCCCAGACUGACGCUCUGCCCCGUCCCCCGCCCUGGUCCCCACCGUCUACUUUCUUCUGUGAAUCUGACAACCCCGGGACCUUGUGCAGGUGGAGCCAGGCAGGGUCUGUCCUGGGUCUGGCGCUUCACCAGGCAUCCGGCCCUCGGGGCUCAUCCGUGUCGUGGCACCAGAACAUCCUUCCUUUUCAUCCCCUGUGGACAGACCGGGCCUUCUGUCCAUUUAUCUGCUGAGCCAUUCCAACCACUGAUGAGCCGUCCGUGGGGGUGCAGCUCCCGCUGCUCGGGGGCUGGGCUGCCCUGAGCCUGGGUGGACGUGUGUGGGCUCAGGGCCCGCUCCCAGCCCUCCUGGGUCCACACCGCAUGUGGGAUUCCAUCCACCAACUGUGCCCACUGCCCGGCUGUCUUCUGCUGGUUUCUGCCGUUGGGCCCUCGUGGGUGUGAGCUGCUCCUUGCCGUGGUCUAUCCGGGUUCUCCGUUCACCCUUGGUUACUUUCCGGGUAUGCACA
rnacentral:lncRNA from 1 species